CUUCUCCAGCUCCUCCAGCUCCUCCUCGUCCACUCACACCUCAUACAUCCAAUGCAAUGGUUCCCGUUAAUCCAAGGCCUAAAAAUAGUGCCGGGAGGAAAGCAUUGAAGACGAUAGAAAUGCUACUGGCCCUGGGAAAUAUCUUUGCUGCCACUCAGUGCACCAUCAUGUGAAGAUCUUCUACCAAUUA